GUGGCGGAGCAGGGGCCCCGGCGAGUGGGGAGCUGGAGGCACAGCGCAUCCCGGCGUCGCACGGGGACUACGAGCUGGCGGCGCACCUGUCACCCACCAGCGCAGACCCCGAGGUCGUGACGACGAGGGGAGAAUCAGAAUGAGGAGGAUGCCGCUGCGGCAGCGAAGGUAGCCAGCAGCCUGAUGAAGCAUCUACGGCCCAGCUUCUCCGGCGCGCCAUCCGGAGAUGGGACGGGCGGAUCGAGGCGGAGGACGAUGGAGAGGUGGUCGGAGGCAGCGAGCUCCAAGGUAGGCGGGGUGAUGCGGUUCCAGAUGGACGACGGCUUCAUGGGCGGCUGGGCCGAAUCAGCUGCCGUGGCCCAAGCGGCGGACGAACGGGCGCUCCUCUCGUCGUCCUCCUCCCGACGGCAGGCCAAGCAGGCGGUAGGAGCUUCUCCGUUCUGCUUGGCGACCUCAGGGUCCCGCUCUUCGGGGCGCUGCUCCAGCAGAGCAACAUCACGCGCCUCGAAUGGCAAGGGCGGCCGCCGUGGUUUGAGGACGUGCUGCGGGCGCCGACGGCUACCACGCCCCGGCGGUGGUGGACGCGCGGCGACACUCUCUGGGCGUGCUCUUGCUGGAGCUCCUCAACGGCAAGUCCCCGACGCACGCAUCGCUGCAGGAUGGCGACGGCGGCACGCUGGACCUGCCGCGGUUGGUGCAGUCAGUGGUGCGCGAGGAGUGGACGGCCGAGGUGAUUGGCGUGGAGCUGGUGCGGCUAGGCGCCGCGCCGAGGAGAAGAUGGACUCGCUACUGCAGGCAUCAACGAAGCUACAACAUAGCACGCCGCUGGCCUCCAGCAACCGGCGCUCCGCACACAUCCUUGCCUCCCACGGCCAGAUGCUCGGACGGCCCCCCAUCACAUAGAUACACAAACACAACAGCAAGCUUCAGUUAUCUGAAUUUUCGGUUCAGUGUCCACAACAACGAGCUUCAGUUAUCUGAAUUUUUAGUGCAGUGUCGUGAUUUGGAUGGACGCCCGAACACAACAGCGAGGCCAGCUUCAGUUCUCUGAAUCUUCAGUGUGCUGUCAUGAUUUGGAUGGAAUUGGAGACCGUGUCCUUCUCCAACAUAAGUCAAUUUCCAAUGUAAUCGAGUUCGAGUCUCUGUUCUUCUCCAACGCAAAAGCAUGUAGUACCCGACCCGGAUUGGACUUGGCUGUCAUAAGGAGGGAUCCUCGACCAGAACGUCCAUCAGGCUGCGUCCCUCGACCAGAAUCUCCAUCAAAUCCCAUCACAUUGCAACUCUCAGAGGAGCAUCCAAUGUCGCUGGCGGAGGAAAAUCAUCCGUCCAGCCGUACUAUGCCGAGUUCGCCGGCGGAAGAAGAACACCCGUCGAGCCCUCCAUCGCCUGAGGUGGCUACACCAGAGUGAUGGGAGGUAGAUUGAGCUGAUAAAUUUCUGCACCCACCUUGAGGUCCAUAACGUUCUCCUAAUUAUAUGCAGCCCAAUUCGUAUAGAUGUAUUUGUUUGAGGGAGAGGACUAUCUGUGAUCAGAAGCAACAGUAUGUGAUCAUCAUGAGUGCGAGAGAUGGCAAGAGUAUGUGAUAUGUAUUUCUGUGUACACUACUAAUAUGUAUUGACUGUUCAUGUUGGUACAGUAGGUUCAUGAUUGCUUAUGGAAACAAUAAAAUUACUUGAGGAGGAUUUUAUGAGUAUGUACUUUGAGACUUGAGAGGCUGUUAUUGACAUGGAUUCUCCGUCUACUAGAGAGGCUGGUGUCAAAUCAAUAUCGGAACAAGGGCAAUAGAAGUGGAAUGAGGAGAAGGUUGUUAGCUCGUCGUGUGGUCGAUUUGGUUUCUGGAAAUUCUUUCGCAUACUAUGUUUGAGCGCUUUUGUUCUUGAGUUCUUCUGGUGGAGGGAAUCAGAAGUGAUUCUUCUGCAAUGUGAGGAGAUCUCCAAAUCAAGCCAGCCUCCAAGAGAAGAGAACAAGUAGUACAUCUCUACCCAGACGAGCUGAAUCUGAACGACUCAGAUUGUCAUGUUACCGUGUACCAGUCCGGCAGAUGUGCAAGUGCAACUACAUUGGUUGAGUGUAAGGAAGACUGAUUCAUCUGCGCGAAGCCAGUAUGACAAGGCUAAGUCUGCACAAGGUGGUGCCCGUUGUAAUGGCCAUGGCUGACUCGCCAGACGCCGCCGGAGGGAGCCCAAUAUACCCUAGCUCGAUGGGCUCGCCAGCCGCCUAGGUAAUAGGGAAAACAUGUGUCGCAUCGGCACAUUUGAUACAGAGCAGCAACUACCUGGUUAUUGAGGGCGUGCACCGGAUGUGCAUAGCAGCACCAGUGCCGACCAAUUCGGCGGCGAACGCCAUGUGGAGGUGCACGGGAUGACGGCGACGCUGGCGGAGCUGAUGUGGAGGUAUGCGUGUGUGAUGACCUGUUGUUCCUGGCUUCCGACGGUCCAUGGUGGGGGAGGACCAAGUGGUGGCCUUCUUUGGUGACUUCAUGGGCGUGUCAGCCCUCAUCUCCACUUUGUCAUCGACGACAUCUACGGCCAUGACCCUCCGCCAUCCACUUACUUGGCACCUCGAGUGGGAGGGGCUGCCGUUCCAGUUCAGCAGGGGCUGCACCUUCUACCGCAGUGAUCCCAACCCGCAUGGGCAGCAGCAGAUUCAGAUUGUGUUUGGAGAUGGUGGCCCAUGACGAGGAUUUCAGGGGAGAUCAUACUAUGACUAUAACAAGAGGCCGAGAUUUGACUUGCAUUGUAUGCGUAAAGCAGGUUCAAGAGCUCCAAGCCAACAAUCGCCAGAGCUUUGAAAAAGAUGUAAGACUUCUACUUUCUACCUUCUGUCACAAAAUUUGUUGUAGCCUGUGUUGAAAAUAUGCCCUAGAGGCAAUAAUAAAAUGGUUAUUAGUAUGUUUCUUUGUUCA